AUACGGAGGGUGCAAGCGUUGUUCGGAAUCACUGGGCGUAAAGGGCGCGCAGGCGGAUUGGUAAGGCAGAUGUGAAAGCCCACGGCUCAACCGUGGAAGUGCAUUUGAAACUGUCAGACUUGAGUACUAGAGGGGAAAGUGGGAUUCCCGGUGUAGAGGUGAAAUUCGUAGAUAUCGGGAGGAAUACCGGUGGCGAAGGCGACUUUCUGGCUAGAUACUGACGCUGAGGCGCGAAAGCGUGGGGAGCAAACAGGAUUAGAAACCCUAGUAGUCC
rnacentral:rRNA from 1 species